CUCCGUUGUGCGCGGUCUAUCCCGGCGGGUUUCCGCGGAUUCUUGGAAAGAGAAAAGUGCAUCAGCGGAAGCGAAAAUGCCUUGCAGACCGUUAACCUCGGAGUCUUGUAUAGAAUUUAUGGCGAUCAGUCUAGCCACGACCCCUUCAGUUAGUUUGGACGUUAGAAGACAUUCGAAAACGACAAAAUGUAUUCAAAAGCAAUGAAUGGACAGUCUAAAUGCGCAUCAAUUGUAUUAUAUGAAGAAGCGGAAGACUUAGUAUAUGGGCCUGACAUGACAGAUUAGCAUCUAAUUGCUAUAAGAAUUAGAUAAUACAAAAUGACAACUCCGGCUGCACGGCGGUACGAACAUUAAAAUAUA